GAUGAACGCUGGCGGCGUGCCUAAUACAUGCAAGUCGAGCGAACAGAUAAGGAGCUUGCUCCUUGACGUUAGCGGCGGACGGGUGAGUAACACGUGGGUAACCUACCUAUAAGACUGGGAUAACUUCGGGAAACCGGAGCUAAUACCGGAUAACAUUUGGAACCGCAUGGUUCUAAAGUGAAAGAUGGUUUUGCUAUCACUUAUAGAUGGACCCGCGCCGUAUUAGCUAGUUGGUAAGGUAACGGCUUACCAAGGCGACGAUACGUAGCCGACCUGAGAGGGUGAUCGGCCACACUGGAACUGAGACACGGUCCAGACUCCUACGGGAGGCAGCAGUAGGGAAUCUUCCGCAAUGGGCGAAAGCCUGACGGAGCAACGCCGCGUGAGUGAUGAAGGGUUUCGGCUCGUAAAACUCUGUUAUUAGGGAAGAACAAAUGUGUAAGUAACUGUGCACGUCUUGACGGUACCUAAUCAGAAAGCCACGGCUAACUACGUG
rnacentral:rRNA from 1 species